rnacentral:rRNA from 1 species
AUACGAAGGUCCCAAGCGUUAUUCGGAAUCACUGGGCGUAAAGAGUACGUAGGCGGUUUGGUAAGUCAGGUGUGAAAUCCCGAAGCUCAACUUCGGAACUGCAUCCGAUACUGCCAGACUAGAGUAAUGGAGAGGCAGGUGGAAUUCUCGGUGUAGCAGUGAAAUGCGUGGAUAUCGAGAGGAAGACCAAUGGCGAAGGCAGCCUGCUGGACAUUUACUGACGCUGAGGUACGAAGGCUAGGGGAGCGAAAGGGAUUAGAUACCCCAGUAGUCC